rnacentral:misc_RNA from 1 species
CAGAGUUGCAAGACUCCCUAAACCACUGUGAACCUACCUUCUACCGUUGCUUCGGCGGGCGGGCCCAGCGCCCCCCCCGGCCCCCCGCGGGCGCCCGCCGGAGGAUACCCAAACUCUUGACAUUAGUGGCCUCUCUGAGUAUUCUUUACUGAAUAAGUCA